AGAGUUCAUUUCCAUCGUGGCGAUUGCUGGAAGAAGACAUCGAGAAGUCGUCGAACACGGACGAGCGGGCCUGACCCUUCGCUGCCUGUGGAGUACGUGCGACCUGCGAGCGUCACCUGGUGCGGAUGAAAUCACAUGGAGGCCACAAGAUACCAUAUCAAGCAAAUUGUUGAGUAUCGAAUGGCCAAGUAUCGAGUGAAAAUUGAACACUGACUCACUUCACCGGGAAUCGCUCUGAAAAUAAUUUAAAAAGUCCUACUACUGCUGCUCUGCACGCUGACUCACUUCACCAGGAAUCUUUCCAGAAACAUGUUACCAGUCCUUUCAACUACUGCUGCUCUGCACACUGACUCCUUCAUCAGGAAUCGCUCUCUGAAAAUAAUUUAAAAAGUCCUUGCAUCUAAUGCUGCUCUGCACACUGACCCUUCACCAGGAAUCGCUCUGAAAAUAAUUUAAAAAGUACUUUCAACCACUGCUGCUCUGGACACUGACCCCUUCACCAAGAAUCGCUCUGAAAAUAAUUUAAAAAGUACUUUCAACCACUGCUAUUACUGCCCUGAAGCCUUAAAAUCAAGAGCUCGGAACACUCAUUCAUGUGAAUGACUCGCAAGUGGUUUUUUUCAAUGACUGUCUAUAAUUAUGCAUGAUUAACUUAACUCUUAUUAACUCAAUAACAUGACUAACCUCACUAACUUAAUUAGGCAGUUAAUAUAAAAACCACUUGUUGAGUUUUACUAUGAAGGUCUUAAUGGGGUUACGUGGAAGACACCGCUGCAUGAUUAAUCAGGGUAACCAACUUCAAGCCAAGUGCUCUUCAACGCUCAAGUUGCUCAUGAGUGAGAACAAUCAUUUGAUCUACUAAUUAUGCUGUCCGUCCGUCCGUCCGUCCGUCUCUUCACCAGAGAAGAUGCCUAC